rnacentral:rRNA from 1 species
AGAGUUUGAUCAUGGCUCAGGACGAACGCUGGCGGCGUGCCUAACACAUGCAAGUCGUACGGGACUUGGGGGCAACUCCAAGUUCAGUGGCAGACGGGUGCGUAACACGUGAAGAACUUGUCCGGUGGCGGGGGAUAGCCGGCCCAACGGCCGGGUAAUACCGCGUACGCUCGCGUGACGGCAUCGUUGCGCGAGGAAAGCAGCCGCAAGGUUGCGCCGACGGAGAGCUUCGCGGCCUAUCAGCUAGUUGGCGGGGUAAUGGCCCACCAAGGCGACGACGGGUAGCUGGUCUGAGAGGAUGAUCAGCCACAUUGGGACUGAGACACGGCCCAGACUCCUACGGGAGGCAGCAGUGGGGAAUAUUGCGCAAUGGCCGCAAGGCUGACGCAGCGACGCCGCGUGUGGGAUGACGGUCUUCGGAUUGUAAACCACUGUCAGGGGGAACGAAUACCGGGCGACGAAUAGCCGACCCGGGGUGACGGUACCUCCAAAGGAAGCACCGGCUAACUCCGUGCCAGCAGCCGCGGUAAUACGGAGGGUGCGAGCGUUGUCCGGAAUCACUGGGCGUAAAGGGCGCGUAGGUGGUUCGAUAAGUCGCUGGUGAAAUUCCGGGGCUCAACUCCGGAGCUGCCGGCGAGACUGUCGGACUUGAGCACGGUAGGGGCAGAUGGAAUUCCCGGUGUAGCGGUGGAAUGCGUAGAUAUCGGGAAGAAUACCAGUGGCGAAGGCGUUCUGCUGGGCCGUUGCUGACACUGAGGCGCGACAGCGUGGGGAGCAAACAGGAUUAGAUACCCUAGUAGUCC